rnacentral:rRNA from 1 species
GAUGAACGCUGGCUACAGGCUUAACACAUGCAAGUCGAGGGGAAACGACGGGGAAGCUUGCUUCCCCGGGCGUCGACCGGCGCACGGGUGAGUAACGCGUAUCCAACCUGCCUCUGACUGAGGGAUAACCCGUCGAAAGUCGGCCUAAUACCUCAUGGCAUCGUCUGCGGGCAUCCAACGACGAUUAAAGAUUUCAUCGGUCAGAGAUGGGGAUGCGUCUGAUUAGCUUGUUGGCGGGGUAACGGCCCACCAAGGCGACGAUCAGUAGGGGUUCUGAGAGGAAGGUCCCCCACAUUGGAACUGAGACACGGUCCAAACUCCUACGGGUGGCAGCAGUGAGGAAUAUUGGUCAAUGGGCGAGAGCCUGAACCAGCCAAGUAGCGUGCAGGAUGACGGCCCUAUGGGUUGUAAACUGCUUUUAUGCGGGGAUAAAGUGAGGGACGUGUCCUUCAUUGCAGGUACCGCAUGAAUAAGGACCGGCUAAUUCCGUG